AGUUAUUUUUAUUAAAUUUUUAUAAAAUAAAAAUUAGAUAAUUUUAAAAAUAAAAUGCUAGAUUGUCUCCCAACAAGCAUUGAGUUUAAAAUUUUCAGCCAGACUAAGUGGAUCUUUUAAAUUAUUGUAGAUAAUAGAUCCACCAAAUUGCUGGGUGCACCUAGCCAUGGCGGAUGGUUGGACGAAGUCUAUUCGGUAAUAUUCC
rnacentral:lncRNA from 1 species